AGAACCGCCAAGUGUCCCUCAUUCAUCUUUAGGACACAGGGAGCUUCAUGUACAUCUUUGCAAGCUUUGACUCUGGGAAAUGUUUGUCUCAUCCUUUUGCAAUCCCUUGCUGUCUUUGAACUCACUGUAGGUUUAUUAAUGGCCUUGACUAAAUUAAGGUAGAUGUAUGUUUUAAAGGUUUAUUGUAUGACUAAUCUUAUGCAAAAAUGCUUAUUUAUAAAAUUAGAUCACCUAUUUUUUUUUCUUUCUCUUUUUACCCAUUUUUAAAAGGUCUUUCUGUGGAUUUUGCGUAAUGAAUGAACAUCACUAAAGGGGAAAAGAUUGUUGUUUCCUUUGGCAUUUCUCAUCUUAAAGCAGAAGAAGAGUACGCAUCUGCUUUUCCCUGUGGAGAGGGAGAUAAUAUGAUAACCUUCUGAUUAUAUACAUAAGCGGAAACUGAUCAGCUUCUCUUGUGGUUCGUUUUUUAAGGGCAAGUUCCAGUUGGAUUGUGCUAAUACACAUAUUCAUGAAUCUCUCCAAACAGGAUUCACAGCUCUCCAGGGAACUCUUGAAGUAUGCAUCAUUGUUUCAAUGAAGUAUCUUCAUUAUAAAACAUAGGGACUAUAAAAGGUGGCUAUAUCUUCCUAUCAGACACAUAUAUUCUACAUCACAGAAAGUUGCAAGUGAAGGAGGCACUUCUGCUUUCAUCAUACUGUUGCACUGACCAUUCCCUGAGCCAAUUAUUUUUAAGGGACAGCUCAAACACCAUCUUCUACAUGAACCUUGAUCUGAUCUCACCACCAAUAAUGCCCUCCUUUCCAAAUCAUUUGGCAACCAACUACUUUGUAUGUGAUUGGUUUAUAUUAUCUUGAUAUUUAUACCCUCUAUAUUUAUAUGCAUUUAUCUACCAUACACACUCCCUGAAAGUUGGGGUUUUUUCAUUCUUUGUAUUUGUACCACUAUUGCUUAGUACUGCACCUUACACAUGGUUUUUAUUUAAUAAAUAUUUAUGGGUCAAUUAAUCUUCA
rnacentral:lncRNA from 1 species